AGCUUUGCGCAGUGGCAGUAUUGUAGCCAAUAAGGUUUAUCCGAGGCACAAUUAUUGCUAAUUAAAAAUAUGAAUAG
rnacentral:snRNA from 1 species